ACCCUUUUCUGGAGUUACUCCCAGCAAGCUGUUACUCAGACGUCCUGUUGGUUAAUAAAGCUGUCCCUGCAGCAGUUCUGCUAUUGUAUAGACUCAGUCUUAAAAUAGUGGGCUUGAUGUGACAUAUUUCUUCAUAAUAUUGUGUAUGUGCAGCCUCUGUGUAAUUGCAUUAUGCACCUUUAUUGCAUAGUUGAAGCAGUGGCAGGAAAGGAUGCCAUGUGUGUUACUGGGAGAUUAUUCAGUGGGUAUUUUUUCUCACUCUUCCGUUUCAGUACCAGUGAAGGACAAGAAACUUCUGGAGGUCAAACUGGGGGAGCUGCCAAGCUGGAUCUUGAUGCGGGACUUCAGCCCUAGUGGUAUUUUUGGAGCGUUUCAAAGAGGUUACUACCGGUACUACAACAAGUACAUCAAUGUGAAGAAGGGGAGCAUCUCGGGGAUUACCAUGGUGCUGGCAUGCUACGUGCUCUUUAGCUACUCCUUUUCCUACAAGCAUCUCAAGCACGAGCGGCUCCGCAAAUACCACUGAAGAGGACAUGCUCUGCACCCCCCCACCCCACGACCUUGGCCCGAGCCCCUCCGUGAGGAACACAAUCUCAAUCGUUGCUGAAUCCUUUCAUAUCCUAAUGGGAAUUAACCUCCAAAUAAAACAUGACUGGUA
rnacentral:sRNA from 1 species